UACGGAGGGUGCAAACGUUGCUCGGAAUCACUGGGCGUAAAGCGUACGUAGGCGGCCUGGAAAGUCGGAUGUGAAAGCCCUCGGCUCAACCGAGGAAGUGCAUUCGAAACUAUCAGGCUUGAGUACUGGAGAGGGUGACGGAAUUCCCGGUGUAGAGGUGAAAUUCGUAGAUAUCGGGAGGAACACCAGUGGCGAAGGCGGUCACCUGGACAGAUACUGACGCUGAGGUACGAAAGCGUGGGGAGCAAACAGG
rnacentral:misc_RNA from 1 species